rnacentral:rRNA from 1 species
AAAUUGAAGAGUUUGAUCAUGGCUCAGAUUGAACGCUGGCGGCAGGCCUAACACAUGCAAGUCGAGCGGUAGCACAGAGAGCUUGCUCUCGGGUGACGAGCGGCGGACGGGUGAGUAAUGUCUGGGAAACUGCCUGAUGGAGGGGGAUAACUACUGGAAACGGUAGCUAAUACCGCAUAAUGUCGCAAGACCAAAGUGGGGGACCUUCGGGCCUCAUGCCAUCAGAUGUGCCCAGAUGGGAUUAGCUGGUAGGUGGGGUAACGGCUCACCUAGGCGACGAUCCCUAGCUGGUCUGAGAGGAUGACCAGCCACACUGGAACUGAGACACGGUCCAGACUCCUACGGGAGGCAGCAGUGGGGAAUAUUGCACAAUGGGCGCAAGCCUGAUGCAGCCAUGCCGCGUGUGUGAAGAAGGCCUUCGGGUUGUAAAGCACUUUCAGCGGGGAGGAAGGCAUUAAGGUUAAUAACCUUAG